UACGUAGGUGGCAAGCGUUGUCCGGAAUUAUUGGGCGUAAAGCGCGCGCAGGCGGUCCUUUAAGUCUGAUGUGAAAGCCCACGGCUCAACCGUGGAGGGUCAUUGGAAACUGGGGGACUUGAGUACAGAAGAGAAGAGUGGAAUUCCACGUGUAGCGGUGAAAUGCGUAGAGAUGUGGAGGAACACCAGUGGCGAAGGCGACUCUUUGGUCUGUAACUGACGCUGAGGCGCGAAAGCGUGGGGAGCAAACUGG
rnacentral:rRNA from 1 species